GACGAACCGUGCAAACGUUGUUCGGAAUCACUGGGCUUAAAGGGCGCGUAGGCGGGCCAUAAAGUCAGGGGUGAAAUCCUCCAGCUUAACUGGAGAACAGCCUCUGAUACUGAUGGUCUCGAGUGAGGUAGGGGCAUGCGGAACUGAUGGUGGAGCGGUGAAAUGUGUUGAUAUCAUCAGGAACUCCGGUGGCGAAAGCGGCGUGCUGGACCUCUACUGACGCUGAGGCGCGAAAGCCAGGGGAGCGAACGGG
rnacentral:rRNA from 1 species